AUGAACGCUGGCGGCGUGCCUAAUACAUGCAAGUCGAACGAAACUUCUUUAUCACCGAGUGCUUGCACUCACCGAUAAAGAGUUGAGUGGCGAACGGGUGAGUAACACGUGGGCAACCUGCCCAAAAGAGGGGGAUAACACUUGGAAACAGGUGCUAAUACCGCAUAACCAUAGUUACCGCAUGGUAACUAUGUAAAAGGUGGCUAUACUACCGCUUUUGGAUGGGCCCGCGGCGCAUUAGCUAGUUGGUAGGGUAAAGGCUUACCGAGGCAAUGAUGCGUAGCCGAAUUGAGAGGUUGAUCGGCCACAUUGGGACUGAGACACGGCCCAAACUCCUACGGGAGGCAGCAGUAGGGAAUCUUCCACAAUGGGCGAAAGCCUGAUGGAGCAACGCCGCGUGGGUGAAGAAGGUCUUCGGAUCGUAAAACCCUGUUGUUAGAGAAGAAAGUGCGUGAGAGUAACUGUUCACGUUUCGACGGUAUCUAACCAGAAAGCCACGGCUAACUACGUG
rnacentral:rRNA from 1 species